GGGGGGGGCAAGCGUUGUUCGGAAUUACUGGGCGUAAAGCGCGCGCAGGCGGCCCGGCAAGUCCUACGUGAAAUCCCACAGCUCAACUGUGGAACUGCGUGGGAUACUGCCAGGCUUGAGUCCGGGAGAGGAGAGUGGAAUUCCCAGUGUAGCGGUGAAAUGCGUAGAUAUUGGGAGGAACACCGGUGGCGAAGGCGGCUCUCUGGACCGGUACUGACGCUGAGGCGCGAAAGCUAGGGGAGCAAACGGGGGAUUAGAUACCCCGGUAGUCCUAGCUGUAAACUUUGAGCACUUUGUGUGGCGGGUAUCGACCCCCUGCCGUGCAGAAGCUAACGCAUUAAGUGCUCCGCCUGGGGAGUACGGUCGCAAGGCUG
rnacentral:rRNA from 1 species